CCUACGGGGGGCUGCAGUGGGGAAUUUUGGACAAUGGGCGCAAGCCUGAUCCAGCUAUUCCGCGUGUGGGAUGACGGCCUUCGGGUUGUAAACCACUUUUGUAGAGAACGAAAAGUCUGUUGAUAAUACCGAUAGAUGAUGACGGUACUCUAAGAAUAAGCACCGGCUAACUACGUGCCAGCAGCCGCGGUAAUACGUAGGGUGCGAGCGUUAAUCGGAAUUACUGGGCGUAAAGGGUGUGCAGGCGGUUUUGCAAGAUGGAUGUGAAAGCCCCGGGCUUAACCUGGGAAAGCCAUACAUUACUGCAAGACGAGAGUGCAGCAGAGGGGGGUGGAAUUCCAAGUGUAGCAGUGAAAUGCGUAGAUAUAUGGAAGAACACCGGUGGCGAAGGCAGCCCCCUGGUACGCAACUGACGCUCAGACACGAAAGCGUGGGGAGCAAACAGGAUUAGAUACCCCAGUAGUC
rnacentral:rRNA from 1 species